AUGUAGCUCAGCUGGAUAGAGCAUCCGCCUUCUAAGCGGACGGUCGGGAGUUCGAAUCUCUCCAUG
rnacentral:tRNA from 1 species